rnacentral:rRNA from 1 species
UACAGAGGGUGCGAGCGUUGUCCGGAAUCACUGGGCGUAAAGGGCGCGUAGGCGGCCUGAUAAGUAGGGGGUGAAAUCCUGUGGCUUAACUGCAGGGCUGCCUCCUAGACUGUUAGGCUCGAGCACGGUAGAGGCAGAUGGAAUUCCCGGUGUAGCGGUGGAAUGCGUAUAGAUCGGGAAGAACAUCGGUGGCGAAGGCGGUCUGCUGGGCCGUUGCUGACGCUGAGGCGCGACAGCGUGGGGAGCAAACAGG